rnacentral:rRNA from 1 species
AUUGAACGCUGGCGGCAGGCCUAACACAUGCAAGUCGAGCGAGCGGCGGACGGGUGAGUAAUGUCUGGGAAACUGCCUGAUGGAGGGAGAUAACUACUGGACACGGUCGCUAAUCCCGCAUACCCUCCGAUGUGCCCAGAUGGGAUUAGCUAGUAGGUGGGGUAAGGGCUCACCUAGGCGACGAGCCCUAGCUGGUCUGAGAGGAUGACCAGCCACACUGGAACUGAGACACGGUCCAGACUCCUACGGGAGGCAGAAGUGGGGAAUAUUGCACAAUGGGCGCAAGCCUGAUGCAGCCAUGCCGCGUGUAUGAAGAAGGCCUUCGGGUUGUAAAGUACUUUCAGCGAGGAGGCGUUACCCGCAGAAGAAGCACCGGCUAACUCCGUGCCAGCAGCCGCGGUAAUAC